CGUGUGGCCGUCCGUCUGUUAUUCAGUAUUGAGGGGGUCAGUAUUCGUAUGAGAACACAUAUGAAACUUUGCUUACGAUAAUUUUGAAUAAAAACUUAGCUAUUCACAUUUAUUUUGGGGCUCAAUUAUUUAAGCAGAGGAAGUUCCUUUUGUAUUGUGAAUCUUUUAAGAUAUCGGAAAUUCGUUACCGGCUGAAUCAGCUGUUGGAUCCUUUUUUUUAAGUUUCC
rnacentral:lncRNA from 1 species